GAUGAACGCUGGCGGCGUGCCUAAUACAUGCAAGUAGAACGCUGAAGCUUGGUGCUUGCACCGAGCGGAUGAGUUGCGAACGGGUGAGUAACGCGUAGGUAACCUGCCUCUUAGCGGGGAUAACUAUUGGAAACGAUAGCUAAUACCGCAUAAAAGUCGACAUCGCAUGAUGUUGACUUGAAAGGUGCAAUUGCAUCACUAAGAGAUGGACCUGCGUUGUAUUAGCUAGUUGGUGAGGUAACGGCUCACCAAGGCGACGAUACAUAGCCGACCUGAGAGGGUGAUCGGCCACACUGGGACUGAGACACGGCCCAGACUCCUACGGGAGGCAGCAGUAGGGAAUCUUCGGCAAUGGGGGCAACCCUGACCGAGCAACGCCGCGUGAGUGAAGAAGGUUUUCGGAUCGUAAAGCUCUGUUGUAAGAGAAGAACGAGUGUGAGAGUGGAAAGUUCACACUGUGACGGUAACUUACCAGAAAGGGACGGCUAACUACGUGCCAGCAGCCGCGGUAAUACGUAGGUCCCGAGCGUUAUCCGGAUUUAUUGGGCGUAAAGCGAGCGCAGGCGGUUAGAUAAGUCUGAAGUUAAAGGCUGUGGCUUAACCAUAGUACGCUUUGGAAACUGUUUAACUUGAGUGCAGAAGGGGAGAGUGGAAUUCCAUGUGUAGCGGUGAAAUGCGUAGAUAUAUGGAGGAACACCGGUGGCGAAAGCGGCUCUCUGGUCUGUAACUGACGCUGAGGCUCGAAAGCGUGGGGAGCAAACAGG
rnacentral:rRNA from 1 species